UACGGGGGGGGCAAGCGUUGUUCGGAAUUACUGGGCGUAAAGGGCUCGUAGGCGGCCAACUAAGUCAGACGUGAAAUCCCCAGGCUCAACCUGGGAACUGCGUCUGAUACUGGAUGGCUUGAAUUCGGGAGAGGGAUGCAGAAUUCCAGGUGUAGCGGUGAAAUGCGUAGAUAUCGGGAGGAACACCAGUGGCGAAAGCGGCCUCCUGGACUGUACCUGACGCUGAGACACGAAAGCUAGGGGAGCGAACGGG
rnacentral:rRNA from 1 species